rnacentral:rRNA from 2 species
UACGUAGGUGGCAAGCGUUGUCCGGAUUUACUGGGCGUAAAGGAUGCGUAGGUGGAUAUGCAAGUCAGAUGUGAAAUACCCGGGCUCAACUCGGGUGCUGCAUUUGAAACUAUAUAUCUAGAGUGCAGGAGAGGUAAGUGGAAUUCCUAGUGUAGCGGUGAAAUGCGUAGAGAUUAGGAAGAACACCAGUGGCGAAGGCGACUUACUGGACUGUAACUGACACUGAGGCAUGAAAGCGUGGGGAGCAAACAGG